ensembl:lncRNA
UGUUUUUCACUGAUUAGAUGGUUUUGUUUUAAACUCACUGCAACUAGAAACACUGGCCAUCAAAUAUCUCUCUAAAAAAAAAAAAUCAUGCCACCUUUCCUCUCCUAUUAUAUUUAUGAUUAAGUUACAUAUCACAAUAUCAUCCUUUCCUAAUUCAGUGCUUAAUUUUAAACUAUGAGCAAUUUGAUAUAGCUUGAUGUUUCAUAAUUAUCAAUCACUAUGAGUAUGCACAUAAAUCAUUUUUAACACCAUAAUGCAGAAGGACCAUCACCCCCACUCAUUGUCCUUUGGCUGCUUCUUUGUUUCUGCUUCAUUGUUACCCUUUAAUUAAUAAAUUAAUUAAUGAACCAAUGACUCGUGGGUGUGGGCGGUGCCUCCCACUGUGUGACUGAGCACACAUCGUUAAUCAGGGCCAUUCCCAUUAACCGGGUCAAGCAGGGUCAUGCUCAAACAAUUAAAGCUAGAUUAUGAGAUUUUCAUCAGCAAAUCCCACCUGAAGACAAGCCACGGCUCGGACCAAACCGGUCUCCGAAACCUCCAACAGGUGGAUGUGCUGGUGGAUUCGGAGUGUGAGGCUGACAAAGGAAAAGCUGCAGCAAGGGUUCAUGUGUAAUUACAGCACUCCUUCAGCUAACUGUAGGAAGGAUAGCUUAUAAAGCUGGCAAUGAGAGCUUAGUGCCGCUGACUCUGAAAAGAUGGUGAAGCUACAAGAUAAGAGGAAAAACAAGACCUAGAAGUCAAAAGUGAAAUGAAAAGAGAAGACCUCAUUUGAAUUUAUCUGCUUUCCAACAAAAGGAAGAACUGACCAAUGUGGGAAGCAUAAAUGUGUUUUUAAUUAAUUUACACAGAUUGGAUCUUACUUCAGUACAGAUGACACGGUGCAUUGAAACAUGCUGUAUGCAUAAGCAGUGUAGUGCUGCUCAGCACUGUUUAUCAAAAAGGCAUUUGUUAAACAAAAGAAAUAUUGAAUGAACUCUACUUACCUAUAAUAGGGGUUGAAAUAAGACAUCUGUCGGGCUUGAUGCAAGUUCCACAUGUAGUGAUAGAUACACUAAAAAAGGUGUAGAAACAAUUUUCAUUGAGAAAUUGCUAGUAAAUUUAAAAUUUCUUUACUAAGAAACAAUCCAACAAUUUAGCUCCCAAUUAACUUAUUAUUAUUUACAUUUAUGAUGACGUAAGCAUUUGACGAACAAUUUUAAUCCGAAGUGACGCAUUUAAGAUAUACAGUUUUGUCUCUCAUGGAUUCCCUGGGAAUCGAACCCAUGACCUUGGCGUAGCAUCACGGCCAAUUGUUUGAGCUACAGGAAUAUUUAAGCAUUUUAAAGCCACGAUGUGGGUUCUUUUCUGAGUAGAUUACCAUCAUUUGGAUGUAAAUAUGACCCUCUUCCUUAUGAAAAUAUUUUAAGUUUAUUCAGAUUUUUUUUUCCUUAAAAAAAAAAAAAACAUCUUAAUGUGUGCAGCAUAAAUAUAGUAAAGCUGUGGUCACGCUCCACUUUAAGUUACUUCAGACUCAACAGCACUGAAAACUCUUAGCCAAGAGAUCAGUCCAUUCGGUUACAUUUACAUCCUCUAUUGAUCAAACAUCUUUGUUCAAUCUGAAUUCACAGAUCUGA